AUCACCGGCCGUUUCCCGCCAUUUCCAUGGCGAUUCAGGCUACAACUGACGGUCGAGACUCGGCUUUUUCACGGUGGUGUUGUGUUGUUUUUGUAUCUUUUUCCUACAUUUUCACAAAGUGUGUUAAGUUGUUUCGCGAGUGUUGAACGGUGUGUAGUUAGCUGGUUCAUUGUAGCUGUUUUAAGGAAAGGAUUGUUGCCUUCAAAGGGAGGGAUUUACAAAGGGUAAAUCAACUCUCUCUGCUGGCAGUCAGGUUAGUGAGCAUGUUAGAAUUAAUAUUUUAUUAUUGCCCCAGCAGCCAAUAUAAUCCUCUCGGUUUAAUACUAUAUGUACUAUCUGCAAAUUUUAAUACAAGCAGUGUUUCAAAAGUAAAACCUAUUACGGCACCUGCUUAGAAGGGUUAGAACUGACAAAAGUUCGGGUUUUCCCAACUAGAUAUUUUCAGAUUGACACCUCUCUCUGUCGAAAUUUGUAGGUCACUUUAGGUCACUGUUACAAUUAAUACAAUUUUUUGUAUGAUCUCGUAAAUAAGUUUUGUGUGUAAAUUACAUUUAAUUUAUUGUAUGCUUUAUACAUUUCAGUUUUGUUUUUUCAAGGGUGUUGAUCCAUUUUUACAUCAUUGUUUUACAUUUUCACAAAGUGCUAUUUAAACAGUGCGUUAAGUUGUUUCGCGAGUGUUGAACAGUGUGUAGUUAGCUGGUUCAUUGCAGCUGUUUUAAGGAAAGGAUUGUUGCCUUC